rnacentral:rRNA from 1 species
CGUUAAGUUGCAGGGUAUAGACCCGAAACCCGGUGAUCUAGCCAUGGGCAGGUUGAAGGUUGGGUAACACUAACUGGAGGACCGAACCGACUAAUGUUGAAAAAUUAGCGGAUGACCUGUGGCUGGGGGUGAAAGGCCAAUCAAACCGGGAGAUAGCUGGUUCUCCCCGAAAGCUAUUUAGGUAGCGCCUCGUGAAUUCAUCUCCGGGGGUAGAGCACUGUUUCGGCUAGGGGGCCAUCCCGGCUUACCAACCCGAUGCAAACUGCGAAUACCGGAGAAUGUUAUCACGGGAGACACACGGCGGGUGCUAACGUCCGUCGUGAAGAGGGAAACAACCCAGACCGCCAGCUAAGGUCCCAAAGUCAUGGUUAAGUGGGAAACGAUGUGGGAAGGCCCAGACAGCCAGGAUGUUGGCUUAGAAGCAGCCAUCAUUUAAAGAAAGCGUAAUAGCUCACUGGUCGAGUCGGCCUGCGCGGAAGAUGUAACGGGGCUAAACCAUGCACCGAAGCUGCGGCAGCGACACUGUGUGUUGUUGGGUA